GAUGAACGCUGGCGGCGUGCCUAAUACAUGCAAGUCGAGCGAACGGACGAGAAGCUUGCUUUUCUGAUGUUAGCGGCGGACGGGUGAGUAACACGUGGAUAACCUACCUAUAAGACUGGGAUAACUUCGGGAAACCGGAGCUAAUACCGGAUAAUAUUUUGAACCGCAUGGUUCAAAAGUGAAAGACGGUCUUGCUGUCACUUAUAGAUGGAUCCGCGCUGCAUUAGCUAGUUGGUAAGGUAACGGCUUACCAAGGCAACGAUGCAUAGCCGACCUGAGGGGGUGGUCGGCCACACUGGAACUGAGACGCGGUCCAGACUCCUACGAGAGGCAGCAGUAGGGAAUCUUCCGCAAUGGGCGAAAGCCUGACGGAGCAGCGCCGCGUGAGUGAUGAAGGUCUUCGGAUCGUAGAACUCUGUUAUUAGGGAAGAACAUAUGUGUAAGUAACUGUGCACAUCUUGACGGUACCUAGUCAGAAAGCCACGGCUAACUACGUG
rnacentral:rRNA from 1 species